GGAAUCAUGUGAGACAAGGGUGGUGGCCGCUCUGGAGGUGCCUGGGGGGUUCCCUCAUUACCCCUCUGGGCUUAGUCCAUCCUCCACACUGUUGUGCAGCUUCUCCACCUCCUGGUAGAGGAUAAAUACUGUUACCCUUAUCCCUGGUCACAUCCAGGGAGACGCGUCCAGCGGCCAGGCGGGGACAGUGCCGUUCUAGAGGUCCUUGAGCCCCUCCUUCCUCAGGAUCUGCAGCCAUAGGCCGGUGUGUUCCGCGUUUGUGCUGCUCCAGGCCCCGCAUCCGGUCUCGAUCCCAUCCAGAGGAGCGUUUCCCAAGACACUGGCUGCGCCCACAAUGGCUCCGAAGACCCCAGCGACCAGCGGGUCCAUGGGCUUGCUGGGGUUGUCCCCUCGGUACCAGCUGUGCAGGGAGGUCAGGAGGAGAAGCAGACGGCCUGGUUCCAGCCCUGCUUUAGCGUGGGUGCCAUGAGGCCCCGACGUUUAAAGUAUUGCUGUGUGUUUCAAGUGGAGGAGGUCAUAUUACAACUGACAUUUGUCCUUGACUACUGGACAUAUCACACCAGCCCUGAUUGCAGUUAUACUUGAAGCCAGAUCUACCCUUAACGUAUAUUCAUUUUACUAUUCAAUAAAUAUUAACUUAUCAUGAAUGGUA
rnacentral:lncRNA from 1 species